CCUACGGGAGGCAGCAGUGGGGAAUUUUGGACAAUGGGCGCAAGCCUGAUCCAGCAAUGCCGCGUGCAGGAUGAAGGCCUUCGGGUUGUAAACUGCUUUUGUACGGAACGAAAAAGUCUGCCCUAAUACGGUGGGCCCAUGACGGUACCGUAAGAAUAAGCACCGGCUAACUACGUGCCAGCAGCCGCGGUAAUACGUAGGGUGCGAGCGUUAAUCGGAAUUACUGGGCGUAAAGCGUGCGCAGGCGGUUAUAUAAGACAGAUGUGAAAUCCCCGGGCUCAACCUGGGACCUGCAUUUGUGACUGUAUAGCUAGAGUACGGUAGAGGGGGAUGGAAUUCCGCGUGUAGCAGUGAAAUGCGUAGAUAUGCGGAGGAACACCGAUGGCGAAGGCAAUCCCCUGGACCUGUACUGACGCUCAUGCACGAAAGCGUGGGGAGCAAACAGGAUUAGAUACCCUGGUAGUCCACGCCCUAAACGAUGUCAACUGGUUGUUGGGUCUUCACUGACUCAGUAACGAAGCUAACGCGNGAGUGACGCCGNGGNGACGCGCGAGUGAAGUAAGAAGUAGAGNGNGNGAGNGCGAGACGACGACGAGGGAGGAGG
rnacentral:rRNA from 1 species